rnacentral:rRNA from 1 species
GACGGAGGGUGCUAGCGUUGUUCGGAAUGACUGGGCGUAAAGGGCGCGUAGGCGGCCGCUUGCGUCGGAUGUGAAAGCCCGGGGCUCAACCCCGGAACGGCAUCCGAUACGGGGCGGCUCGAGACCGAGAGAGGUGAGUGGAAUACCCAGUGUAGAGGUGAAAUUCGUAGAUAUUGGGUGGAACACCGGUGGCGAAAGCGGCUCACUGGCUCGGUUCUGACGCUGAGGCGCGAAAGCGUGGGGAGCGAACAGG